rnacentral:rRNA from 1 species
GGCGUAAAGCGAGCGUAGGCGGCUUGAUAAGUCAGAUGUGAAAUCCCCGGGCUUAACCUGGGAACUGCAUCUGAAACUGUUAGGCUAGAGUAGGUGAGAGGGAAGUAGAAUUUCAGGUGUAGCGGUGAAAUGCGUAGAGAUCUGAAGGAAUACCGAUGGCGAAGGCAGCUUCCUGGCAUCAUACUGACACUGAGGCUCGAAAGCGUGGGUAGCAAACAGGAUUAGAUACCCUGGUAGUCCACGCCGUAAACGAUGUCUACUAGUCGUUGGGUCCCUUGAGGACUUAGUGACGCAGCUAACGCAAUAAGUAGACCGCCUGGGGAGUACGGCCGCAAGGUUAAAACUCAAAUGAAUUGACGGGGGCCCGCACAAGCGGUGGAGCAUGUGGUUUAAUUCGAUGCAACGCGAAGAACCUUACCUGGUCUUGACAUAUCUAGAAUCCUGCAGAGAUGCGGGAGUGCCUUCGGGAAUUAGAAUACAGGUGCUGCAUGGCUGUCGUCAGCUCGUGUCGUGAGAUGUUGGGUUAAGUCCCGCAACGAGCGCAACCCUUGUCCUUAGUUACCAGCGGGUUAAGCCGGGAACUCUAAGGAUACUGCCAGUGACAAACUGGAGGAAGGCGGGGACGACGUCAAGUCAUCAUGGCCCUUACGACCAGGGCUACACACGUGCUACAAUGGUAGGUACAGAGGGCAGCUACACAGCGAUGUGAUGCGAAUCU